CAGCCGCCACGGUAAAACCAGCAGCCCAAGUGGUGGUCGCGAUUAUUGGGCCUAAAGCGCUCGUAGCCGGGCCGGUAAGUCCCUUGUGAAAUCGGACGGCCUAACCGUUCGGCGUGCAAGGGAUACUGUCGGUCUUGAGGCCGGGAGACGUCCGAGGUACUCCGGGGGUAGCGGUGAAAUGUUCUGAUCCUCGGGGGACCACCGGUGGCGAAGGCGUUCGAUGAGAACGGGCCUGACGGUGAGGGGCGAAGGCUAGGGGAGCAAACGGGAUUAGAUACCCGCGUAGUCCCUGUCUCUUAUU
rnacentral:rRNA from 1 species